UACGAGGGGGGCUAGCGUUGCUCGGAUUUACUGGGCGUAAAGGGCGCGUAGGCGGACAGUUUAGUCAGAGGUGAAAGCCCGGGGCUCAACCUCGGAAUUGCCUUUGAUACUGGCUGUCUUGAGUACGGGAGAGGUGUGUGGAACUCCGAGUGUAGAGGUGAAAUUCGUAGAUAUUCGGAAGAAUACCAGUGGCGAAGGCGACACACUGGCCCGUUACUGACGCUGAGGUGCGAAAGCGUGGGGAGCAAACAGG
rnacentral:rRNA from 1 species